rnacentral:rRNA from 1 species
UAGGGAAUAUUGGACAAUGGGCGAAAGCCUGAUCCAGCAACGCCGCGUGCGCGAUGACGGCCUUCGGGUUGUAAAAUUCUGUUAUAAGGGAAGAAUGGCUCUAGUAGGAAAUGGCUAGAGUGUGACGGUACCUUAUGAGAAAGCCACGGCUAACUACGUGCCAGCAGCCGCGGUAAUACGUAGGUGGCGAGCGUUAUCCGGAAUUAUUGGGCGUAAAGAGCGCGCAGGUGGUUGAUUAAGUCUGAUGUGAAAGCCCACGGCUUAACCGUGGAGGGUCAUUGGAAACUGGUCAACUUGAGUGCAGAAGAGGGAAGUGGAAUUCCAUGUGUAGCGGUGAAAUGCGUAGAGAUAUGGAGGAACACCAGUGGCGAAGGCGGCUUCCUGGUCUGUAACUGACACUGAGGCGCGAAAGCGUGGGAUCAAACA